UAUUUUAGUCUUGUUAGAGGAACCUGUUUUAUAAUCGAUAAACCACGAAUAUCUUACUUAUUUUAAAUAAUUUGUAUACCGUCAUUAUCAGAUAACUUUUAAAAAAUUAGUUAUUAAAAUUAAAUAAAUUUAAAUAUAUUAGAUCAAGGUGCAGUUAAUAAAUAAGAAAAAAUGGGUUACAAUAAAAUUUAUUUAUAACGAAUUAUAUAAAUGUAAAAAUGUAUGAAGGAGGAUUUAAUUGUAAUUUUUUAUAAAAUAAUAAUAUGAUAGAAGCUCUAAAAUAU
rnacentral:rRNA from 1 species